GCCCGGGCGAGGGGCUCCUCAAGGACUGUCUAACCUGAGAAUGGUGAAACAUAAGGGUCAAUCUCAGGUUCGUCAGCCCAUGAGACGCCUUCUCCAGAGCG
rnacentral:pre_miRNA from 14 species